rnacentral:lncRNA from 1 species
CCAAGCUCAAACACUAGUAAUUAAGCUCAAUCAAGGACUUAUCUGGAAUGAACCAAAACUAUUUUAGACCAACAGAUGCCGUCAGUUUAGCCUUGACAUUGACCAGGUCCAACGCGCAUGAGACAGGGAAGAUGAAACUGUAAGGCAAAACUUUUGGUGAAAUCAGGAGUGGCGUCGAGUGUGGUGAAAUCCCUAAUCAACUCAUCGUCUGCCUCGUUAGAAGUCACACCGCCAAAUGGAUGCAGAAGGGCAUAGCUUGUGGGUGUUGUCAUCUUAGCUUUACAAUAAUGAGUGUUCCUGGAACUGCAUAAGAGAAUAGAGUGCUUGUAGUAUGAGGCUGGCGGGGAUGGAGGACACGGCGGAGCUGCUGGAGAAGAAGCUAGCGUCGGAAAUUUCGAAGAUGAGCUUAG